AGACGUCUACAUUAGACUACCCCGGUAGUCCCAGCCGUAAACUAUGCGCGUUAGGUGUAUCGGUGACCACGAGUCACCGAGGUGCCGAAGGGAAACCGUGAAACGUGCCGCCUGGGAAGUACGGUCGCAAGGCUAGAAACUUAAAGGAAUUGGCGGGGAGCACCACAACGGGUGGAGCCUGCGGUUUAAUUGGACUCAACGCCGGGAAGCUCACCGGAUAAGACAGCGGAAUGAUUGCCGGGCUGAAGACUCUGCAUGACUAGCUG
rnacentral:rRNA from 1 species